AGCGAACGCUGGCGGCAGGCUUAACACAUGCAAGUCGAGCGGGCACUUCGGUGUCAGCGGCAGACGGGUGAGUAACACGUGGGAACGUACCCUUCGGUUCGGAAUAACGCUGGGAAACUAGCGCUAAUACCGGAUACGCCCUUUUGGGGAAAGGUUUACUGCCGUAGGAUCGGCCCGCGUCUGAUUAGCUAGUUGGUGGGGUAAUGGCCUACCAAGGCGACGAUCAGUAGCUGGUCUGAGAGGAUGCUCCGCCACACUGGGACUGAGACACGGCCCAGACUCCUACGGGAGGCAGCAGUGGGGAAUAUUGGACAAUGGGCGCAGGCCUGAUCCCGCCAUGCCGCGUGAGUGAUGAAGGCCUUAGGGUUGUAAAGCUCUUUUGUCCGGGACGAUAAUGACGGUACCGGAAGAAUAAGCCCCGGCUAACUUCGUG
rnacentral:rRNA from 1 species